CAGGGUGAGUCGACCCCUAAGGCGAGGCCGAAAGGCGUAGUCGAUGGGAAACAGGUUAAUAUUCCUGUACUUGGUGUUACUGCGAAGGGGGGACGGAGAAGGCUAUGUUGGCCGGGCGACGGUUGUCCCGGUUUAAGCGUGUAGGCUGGUUUUCCAGGCAAAUCCGGAAAAUCAAGGCUGAGGCGUGAUGACGAGGCACUACGGUGCUGAAGCAACAAAUGCCCUGCUUCCAGGAAAAGCCUCUAAGCAUCAGGUAACAUCAAAUCGUACCCCAAACCGACACAGGUGGUCAGGUAGAGAAUACCAAGGCGCUUGAGAGAACUCGGGUGAAGGAACUAGGCAAAAUGGUGCCGUAACUUCGGGAGAAGGCACGCUGAUAUGUAGGUGAAGUCCCUUGCGGAUGGAGCUGAAAUCAGUCGAAGAUACCAGCUGGCUGCAACUGUUUAUUAAAAACACAGCACUGUGCAAACACGAAAGUGGACGUAUACGGUGUGACGCCUGCCCGGUGCCGGAAGGUUAAUUGAUGGGGUCAGCGCAAGCGAAGCUCUUGAUCGAAGCCCCGGUAAACGGCGGCCGUAACUAUAACGGUCCUAAGGUAGCGAAAUUCCUUGUCGGGUAAGUUCCGACCUGCACGAAUGGCGUAAUGAUGGCCAGGCUGUCUCCACCCGAGACUCAGUGAAAUUGAACUCGCUGUGAAGAUGCAGUGUACCCGCGGCAAGACGGAAAGACCCCGUGAACCUUUACUAUAGCUUGACACUGAACAUUGAGCCUUGAUGUGUAGGAUAGGUGGGAGGCUUUGAAGUGUGGACGCCAGUCUGCAUGGAGCCGGCCUUGAAAUACCACCCUUUAAUGUUUGAUGUUCUAACGUGGACCCGUGAUCCGGGUUGCGGACAGUGUCUGGUGGGUAGUUUGACUGGGGCGGUCUCCUCCUAAAGAGUAACGGAGGAGCACGAAGGUUGGCUAAUCCUGGUCGGACAUCAGGAGGUUAGUGCAAUGGCAUAAGCCAGCUUGACUGCGAGCGUGACGGCGCGAGCAGGUGCGAAAGCAGGUCAUAGUGAUCCGGUGGUUCUGAAUGGAAGGGCCAUCGCUCAACGGAUAAAAGGUACUCCGGGGAUAACAGGCUGAUACCGCCCAAGAGUUCAUAUCGACGGCGGUGUUUGGCACCUCGAUGUCGGCUCAUCACAUCCUGGGGCUGAAGUAGGUCCCAAGGGUAUGGCUGUUCGCCAUUUAAAGUGGUACGCGAGCUGGGUUUAGAACGUCGUGAGACAGUUCGGUCCCUAUCUGCCGUGGGCGCUGGAGAACUGAGGGGGGCUGCUCCUAGUACGAGAGGACCGGAGUGGACGCAUCACUGGUGUUCGGGUUGUCAUGCCAAUGGCACUGCCCGGUAGCUAAAUGCGGAAGAGAUAAGUGCUGAAAGCAUCUAAGCACGAAACUUGCCCCGAGAUGAGUUCUCCCUGACCCUUUAAGGGUCCUGAAGGAACGUUGAAGACGACGACGUUGAUAGGCCGGGUGUGUAAGCGCAGCGAUGCGUUGAGCUAACCGGUACUAAUGAACCGUGAGG
rnacentral:rRNA from 1 species